rnacentral:rRNA from 1 species
UACGGAGGGUGCAAACGUUGCUCGGAAUUAUUGGGCGUAAAGCGCACGUAGGCGGACCACCAAGUCGGAUGUGAAAGCCCUCGGCUUAACCGAGGAACUGCCCUCCAAACUGCUUUGCUUGAGGCCGGGAGAGGUGAGUGGAAUUCCCAGUGUAGCGGUGAAAUGCGUAGAUAUUGGGAGGAACACCAGUGGCGAAGGCGGCUCACUGGACCGGUUCUGACGCUGAUGCGCGAAAGCGUGGGGAGCAAACGGG